CCUACGGGAGACAGCAGUGAGGAAUAUUGGUCAAUGGGCGAGAGCCUGAACCAGCCAAGCCGCGUGAAGGAUGAAGGCUCUAUGGUUUGUAACCUUCUUUCAUAUGGGAAUAAAGUGAGGCACUUGCUCCUUUUUGUAUGUACCCUAACUACAAGCAUCGGCCAACGACGUGCCAGCAGCCGCGGUCAUACGGAGGAUGCGAGCGUUAUCCGGAUUUAUUGGGUGUAAAGGGUGCGUAGGUGGUAAAUUAAGUCAGCGGUGAAAGUUCAUGGCUCAACCAUAAGAUUGCCGUUGAAACUGGUUGACUUGAGUAUAUGUGAGGUAGGCGGAAUGCGUGGUGUAGCGGUGAAAUGCGUAGAUAUAACGCAGAACACCGAUGGCGAAGGCAGAUUACUAAACUAUAACUGACACUGAAGCACGAAAGCGUGGGGAGCAAACAGGAUUAGAUACCCUUGUAGUC
rnacentral:rRNA from 1 species